UCCCAGCAGCUCAGAGGAGCAGAUCCAAUCUGUGAUCCACCUCUUCCAGAUCGGCACUGGGGGUAAAUCAGACCUGCCCCCCAUCGACGGCCCCACGGACAUGGACCGAGGUCCCAUCCUGCCGGUGCCGCUGGGAAUUCGGCCGGUGCUGAGCAGAUACAGAGUGGAGAUCUUGUUCUGGGGGCUCAGGGACCUGAAGAGAGUGAACCUGGCCCAGGUGGACCGGCCCCGUGUGGACAUCGAGUGUGCCGGGAAGGGUGUCCAGUCUGCCCUGAUCCAGAACUACAAGAAAAACCCCAACUUCAGCACUUUGGUCAAGUGGUUCGAGGUGGUGAGUGUGGCCCAACCCCUCUGAUCCCUCAGCUGGAACUUGGAAUUUCUGGAACGCACCACGGCUCUGAGCCCUUUACUCCAGGUUUCCCAAAACAAUGGAGCACAUGGACAGCACUCCUUCACCUGAGGGCUCCCAAGCCACAUUUUGCUGGAGCAGCUCUGGAAUUCUUCCUCCAGCAUGAUCCCAGUUCUAGUCCCUACUGCCCUUCCCAGUAUGAUCCCAUUCCUAAUCCCUACCCCCCCAGUGUGAUCCCAUUCCCAAUCCCCACUGCCCUUCCCAGCAUGAUCCCAUUCCCAAUCCCCGCUGCCAUUCCCAGCAUGAUUCCAUUCCUAAUCCCCAUUACCCUUCCCAGUGUGAUUCCAUUCUUAAUCCUCACUGGCCUUCCCAGUGUGAUCCCAUUCCCAAUCCCCACUGCCCUUCACAGCACGAUCCCAUUCCCAAUCCCUACUCUUUUUCCCAGCACGAUCCCAUUCCCAAUCCCCACUGCCCUUCUCAGCAUAAUCCCAUUCCCAAUCCCCAGUGCCCUUCCCACCAUAAUCCAUUCCCAAUCCCCACUGCCAUUCCCAACAUAAUCCCAUUCCCAAACCCCACUGCCCUUCCCACCAUAAUCCCAUUCCCAAUCCCCACUGCCAUUCCCAGCACAAUCCCAUUCCCAACCCCACUGCCAUUCCCAGCACGAUCCCAUUCCCAAUCCCCACUGCCCUUCCCGGUAUGAUCCCAUUCUUAAUCCCCACUGCCAUUCCCAUCAUGAUCCCAUUCCUAAUCCCUACUCCCCAGCACGAUCCCAUUCCCAAUCCCCACUGCCAUUCCCAGUAUGAUCCCAUUCCUAAUCCCUACUCCCCAGCAUAAUCCCAUUCCCAAUCCCCACUGCCAUUCCCAGCACAAUCCCAUUCCCAAUCCCCACUGCCCUUCCCAGCAUGAUCCCAUUCCCA
rnacentral:lncRNA from 1 species